AGAGGAGAUAGAUACAUUUUUGAAAGAUCAGCGAAUUGAGGGCUGUGUGGAACCGGCACAGAGGCACCAAACUAAGUUUUUCACUGUAUCUUGGUACAUAUAACAAUGAUAAACCAAUACCACCCUGAAGAAAAAAAACUAUGAUGCUGGAGGAACUCAGCAGGCCAGGAAGCAUCCGUGGAGAAAAGCAAGCAGUCAACGUUUCAGGCAGUCCCUUAGGAUCGAACAUGACUUGUUUCCAACACACAUAAAAGAAACUCCGCAAGUGCAGAAGACAAGGUCAGACCAUUUUGAUUCAGCCAGA